UAAUUCAAACCUAGAAUUUUUAGGAGGUUAAGGAGGAGGGCGGCAGUGGAGACAGUAGCAGCGGCGGCGGGGGCAGUGGCGAUGCAGCGAUGGUGCCGAUGUGGGGUGGGGAAUGCGCUUUGUGUGAGCGAAAUAGAGAAGGAGCGUGGAAGGGUGUUUUGUGUGUGAGGGAGAAGAGAGUGGGAGUUAGAAAAUUUUGAGUAUUUGAGAAUAAGAGAAAUGAGGGGG
rnacentral:lncRNA from 1 species